UUGUUGUGUCCCUGAAGCGCGUUGGACUUUUGCUCCAAAGGUCGUGGGUUCGAAUCCCACCUUAAGAU